UCAGGAUGAACGCUAGCUACAGGCUUAACGCAUGCAAGUCGAGGGGCAGCAUGGUCUUAGCUUGCUAAGGCCGAUGGCGGCCGGCGCACGGGUGAGUAACACGUAUCCAACCUGCCGUCUACUCUUGGACAGCCUUCUGAAAGGAAGAUUAAUACAAGAUGGCAUCAUGAGUCCGCAUGUUCACAUGAUUAAAGGUAUUCCGGUAGACGAUGGGGAUGCGUUCCAUUAGAUAGUAGGCGGGGUAACGGCCCACCUAGUCUUCGAUGGAUAGGGGUUCUGAGAGGAAGGUCCCCCACAUUGGAACUGAGACACGGUCCAAACUCCUACGGGAGGCAGCAGUGAGGAAUAUUGGUCAAUGGGCGAGAGCCUGAACCAGCCAAGUAGCGUGAAGGAUGACUGCCCUAUGGGUUGUAAACUUCUUUUAUAAAGGAAUAAAGUCGGGUAUGGAUACCCGUUUGCAUGUACUUUAUGAAUAAGGAUCGGCUAACUCCGUGCCAGCAGCCGCGGUAAUACGGAGGAUCCGAGCGUUAUCCGGAUUUAUUGGGUUUAAAGGGAGCGUAGAUGGAUGUUUAAGUCAGUUGUGAAAGUUUGCGGCUCAACCGUAAAAUUGCAGUUGAUACUGGAUAUCUUGAGUGCAGUUGAGGCAGGCGGAAUUCGUGGUGUAGCGGUGAAAUGCUUAGAUAUCACGAAGAACUCCGAUUGCGAAGGCAGCCUGCUAAGCUGCAACUGACAUUGAGGCUCGAAAGUGUGGGUAUCAAACAGGAUUAGAUACCCUGGUAGUCCACACGGUAAACGAUGAAUACUCGCUGUUUGCGAUAUACUGCAAGCGGCCAAGCGAAAGCGUUAAGUAUUCCACCUGGGGAGUACGCCGGCAACGGUGAAACUCAAAGGAAUUGACGGGGGCCCGCACAAGCGGAGGAACAUGUGGUUUAAUUCGAUGAUACGCGAGGAACCUUACCCGGGCUUAAAUUGCAGAUGAAUUACGGUGAAAGCCGUAAGCCGCAAGGCAUCUGUGAAGGUGCUGCAUGGUUGUCGUCAGCUCGUGCCGUGAGGUGUCGGCUUAAGUGUCAUAACGAGCGCAACCCUUGUUGUCAGUUACUAACAGGUUCCGCUGAGGACUCUGACAAGACUGCCAUCGUAAGAUGUGAGGAAGGUGGGGAUGACGUCAAAUCAGCACGGCCCUUACGUCCGGGGCUACACACGUGUUACAAUGGGGGGUACAGAGGGCCGCUACCACGCGAGUGGAUGCCAAUCCCCAAAACCUCUCUCAGUUCGGACUGGAGUCUGCAACCCGACUCCACGAAGCUGGAUUCGCUAGUAAUCGCGCAUCAGCCACGGCGCGGUGAAUACGUUCCCGGGCCUUGUACACACCGCCCGUCAAGCCAUGGGAGCCGGGGGUACCUGAAGUGCGUAACCGCGAGGAGCGCCCUAGGGUAAAACUG
rnacentral:rRNA from 1 species